UCUGGUUGAUCCUGCCAGAGGUUACUGCUAUCGAGGUUCGACUAAGCCAUGCGAGUCGAAUGUAGCAAUACAUGGCGUACUGCUCAGUAACACGUGGAUAACCUACCCUUGAGUCGGGGAUAAACCCGGGAAACUGGGUAUAAUACCCGAUAGAUCUCGACUGCUGGAAUGCAUCGAGCUCUAAAGCUCCGGCGCUCAAGGAUGGAUCUGCGGCCUAUCAGGUAGUAGUGGGUGUAGCGUACCUACUAGCCUACGACGGGUACGGGUUGUGAGAGCAAGAGCCCGGAGAUGGAUUCUGAGACACGAAUCCAGGCCCUACGGGGUGCAGCAGGCGCGAAAACUUUACAAUGCCGGCAACGGCGAUAAGGGGACCUCGAGUGCCAGGUUACAAAUCUGGCUGUCGUGAUGCCUAAAAAGCAUUGCAUAGCAAGGGCCGGGCAAGACCGGUGCCAGCCGCCGCGGUAACACCGGCGGCUCGAGUGGUAACCGUUAUUAUUGGGUCUAAAGGGUCUGUAGCCGGCCGGAUAAGUCUCUUGGGAAAUCUGGCAGCUUAACUGUCAGGCUUUCAGGAGAUACUGUCUGGCUCGAGGCCGGGAGAGGUGAGAGGUACUUCAGGGGUAGGGGUGAAAUCUUGUAAUCCUUGAAGGACCACCAGUGGCGAAGGCGUCUCACCAGAACGGACCUGACGGCAAGGGACGAAAGCUAGGGGCACGAACCGGAUUAGAUACCCGGGUAGUCCUAGCCGUAAACGAUACUCGCUAGGUGUCGGCCACGGUGCGACCGUGGUCGGUGCCGUAGGGAAGCCGUGAAGCGAGCCACCUGGGAAGUACGGCCGCAAGGCUGAAACUUAAAGGAAUUGGCGGGGGAGCA
rnacentral:rRNA from 1 species